GACGAACGCUGGCGGCGUGCUUAACACAUGCAAGUCGAACGGAAAGGCCCUGCUUUUGUGGGGUGCUCGUGUGGCGAACGGGUGAGUAACACGUGAGUAAACUGCCCUUGACUUUGGGAUAACUUCAGGAAACUGGGGCUAAUACCGGAUAGGAGCUCCUGCUGCAUGGUGGGGGUUGGAAAGUUUCGGCGGUUGGGGAUGGACUCGCGGGUUAUCAGCUUGUUGGGGGGGUAGUGGCUUACCAAGGCUUUGACGGGUAGCCGGCCUGAGAGGGUGAACGGCCACAUUGGGACUGAGAUACGGCGCAGACUCCUACGGGAGGCAGCAGUGGGGAAUAUUGCACAAUGGGCGGAAGCCUGAUGCAGCGACGCCGCGUGCGGGAUGACGGCCUUCGGGUUGUAAACCGCUUUCGCCUGUGACGAAGCGUGAGUGACGGUAAUGGGUAAAGAAGCACCGGCUAACUACGUG
rnacentral:rRNA from 1 species